rnacentral:rRNA from 1 species
GGUUAAGCGACUAAGCGUACACGGUGGAUGCCCUGGCAGUCAGAGGCGAUGAAGGACGUGCUAAUCUGCGAAAAGCGCCGGCGAGGUGAUAUGAACCYUUGACCCGGCGAUGUCCGAAUGGGGAAACCCAGUGCAAUCCGUUGCACUAUCGUUAACUGAAUACAUAGGUUAACGAGGCGAACCGGGGGAACUGAAACAUCUAAGUACCCCGAGGAAAAGAAAUCAACCGAGAUUCCCCCAGUAGCGGCGAGCGAACGGGGAGCAGCCCGGAGUCUGAA